rnacentral:rRNA from 1 species
CCUANGGGCGGCUGCAGUAAGGAAUAUUGGGCAAUGGACGCAAGUCUGACCCAGCCAUGCCGCGUGCAGGAUGAAAGCCCUAUGGGUUGUAAACUGCUUUUAUACGGGAAAAAACCCUCGCUCGUGAGCGAGGCUGAUGGUACCGUAAGAAUAAGGAUCGGCUAACUCCGUGCCAGCAGCCGCGGUAAUACGGAGGAUCCAAGCGUUAUCCGGAUUUAUUGGGUUUAAAGGGUGCGUAGGCGGAAUUGUAAGUCAGUGGUGAAAUCCUACAGCUUAACUGUAGAACGGCCAUUGAUACUGCAGAUCUUGAGUAUAUUUGAAGUGGGCGGAAUGUGUCAUGUAGCGGUGAAAUGCUUAGAUAUGACACAGAACACCGAUUGCGAAGGCAGCUCACUAAACUAUAACUGACGCUGAGGCACGAAAGCGUGGGGAGCAAACAGGAUUAGAUACCCUGNUANUC